AUAACAGGUCUGUGAUGCCCUUAGAUGUUCUGGGCCGCACGCGCGCUACACUGACGAGGACAACGAGUUUAUAACCUUGACCGAAAGGUGUGGGUAAUCUUGUGAACCCUCGUCGUGCUGGGGAUUGAUCUUUGCAAUUUUCAAUCUCGAACGAGGAAUUCCUAGUAAGCGUGAUUCAUCAAAUCGCGUUGAUUACGUCCCUGCCCUUUGUACACACCGCCCGUCGCUCCUACCGAUUGAAUGGUUCAGUGAGGACUCGGGAUCAUCUUCUCGCCUCGUGAUAGCAACACGUGCACCAGAAAACUUGUACACCCUUGAUCUUUUAGAAGAGGGAAAACUCGUCACAGGGUUUCCGUAUGAGACCCUGCAAAGAGAUCA
rnacentral:rRNA from 1 species